UUGCUCAGUGGAGCAGUUGUCAGCACAGUGGUAUAUGCACUGCUAUGAAGCUAGCAUGUCCAUGCAGCUGAUGCCAGCUCUCCAGCAG
ensembl:miRNA gga-mir-1679 gga-mir-1679